rnacentral:rRNA from 1 species
GGCGUCGAGCGGCGGACGGGUGAGUAAUGCCUAGGAAAUUGCCCUGAUGUGGGGGAUAACCAUUGGAAACGAUGGCUAAUACCGCAUGAUGCCUACGGGCCAAAGAGGGGGACCUUCGGGCCUCUCGCGUCAGGAUAUGCCUAGGUGGGAUUAGCUAGUUGGUGAGGUAAGGGCUCACCAAGGCGACGAUCCCUAGCUGGUCUGAGAGGAUGAUCAGCCACACUGGAACUGAGACACGGUCCAGACUCCUACGGGAGGCAGCAGUGGGGAAUAUUGCACAAUGGGCGCAAGCCUGAUGCA